AGACCCAGCGCUUGAAGAGGGGCCCGCGCCUGAUUAGCUAUUUGGUGGGGUAACGGCUCACCAAUGCGACGAUCAGUAGCCGGCCUGAGAGGGCGACCGGCCACACUGGGACUGAGACACGGCCCAGACUCCUACGGGAGGCAGCAGUGGGGAAUAUUGCUCAAUGGGCGAUUUUCUGACGCAGCAACGCCGCGUGAGGGAUGACGGCCUUCGGGUUGCAAACCUCUUUCAGCCCCGACGAAGCGUGAGUGACUGUAGGGGAAGAAUAAGCACCGGCUAACUACGUGCCAGCAGCCGCGG
rnacentral:rRNA from 1 species